rnacentral:snoRNA from 1 species
ACUGGCAGGGAUGAUACAUACUUGCCCUCACUUAGACCUCUGGGUCAUUGACGAGAGCUUUGUUCUGAGCCAGU